AUUUCAACAAUUAUCGUUUCAGUAGAACCUUCGUUGGGCGUAAGAGAGCCGGUGGUUAGGUGCGAACCGGUCAGGCGGAGUGUUUCGAAUUAUCACGUGAUCUGAAUUGUCCGGCCAUAUUCAGUGCCGUUACCACCUGAUAUGAGUGCGCAUAAAAUCAAGAUGCGUAGGUGGGUGGUACCGCGAUUAAAAUAAUCGUCCCGUUG
rnacentral:ncRNA from 1 species